CUCAGUUAAGAUGCAUUCGCUAUGUAAUUAUCUUGAUGCAUCAAGAAAGAAUCUUGUGGGGUUAUUUGAUUUUCAACCAGUUUCUUGGAUUUGGGAGAGAAAAAAGGAUGACAAGAUCAAGAAGUUGUCUCUAGGGAAAGAUUGCAUAAGUGAAUUACCAGAAGAGAAGCAGCAAGAACCAGCGUUCUCUCCAAGAGAUGGAGAUUCCUGUGGACUUCCUGUCAGGGCAUUCUUGAAUUUCAUGGUUCAGAUUUUAGGUCAAUUGAUAAUUCAGCGUACGAUUUCCUGAGAUCCCAUCGAGCUCCAACUGUAGAUGAACUCAGGAUUCGUUUCCCCAAGGUCGGUCAUUGGUUUUAUGAUGGCCAAAACCACCAUAGUUGAAUCAAUGUUGCCACUGGAAAAAGAGUUAAAAGGCCUGUGUUAGACUUCAGAAAUUCGCAUCCUUCACAGGAAUUGCAGUCACUUGGCUUUUCCAGCAGCUUCAUCUAUCUCGUGUCUCUCCACUUGAUUUAUGUACGAGUAUCUUCCCAGUUGAUUCACUACUUUUUAUCUAAU
rnacentral:misc_RNA from 1 species